rnacentral:rRNA from 1 species
UCCUGGCUCAGAUUGAACGCUGGCGGCAUGCUUUACACAUGCAAGUCGAGCGGCAGCGCGGGGCAACCCUGGCGGCGAGCGGCGAACGGGUGAGUAAUGCAUCGGAACGUACCCUGGAGUGGGGGAUAACGCCGCGAAAGCGGCGCUAAUACCGCAUAUGCUCUGAGGAGGAAAGUGGGGGACCGCAAGGCCUCACGCUCUGGGAGCGGCCGAUGUCCGAUUAGCUGGUUGGUGAGGUAAAGGCUUACCAAGGCGACGAUCGGUAGCUGGUCUGAGAGGAUGAUCAGCCACACUGGGACUGAGACACGGCCCAGACUCCUACGGGAGGCAGCAGUGGGGAAUUUUGGACAAUGGGGGCAACCCUGAUCCAGCCAUGCCGCGUGAGUGAAGAAGGCCUUCGGGUUGUAAAGCUCUUUUGGUCGGGAAGAAAGUGCCCUGCUUAAUACGCGGGGUAUUUGACGGUACCGGCAGAAUAAGCACCGGCUAACUACGUG